rnacentral:lncRNA from 1 species
UUAAAAACUACCUGUGCCCUAUUAUUGAUUCUUUGAUUUUUGGUUCUUACCCUGUUAAAGGAAGUGAGUAGACCUCUUCUGGCAUCUCAUAUUACUCUAUGCUUUUUUCUCUGAGCUCCAAAUUCUAGCUUACAAAGAUGCAGAUUUUGCAACCUCCUAUAGUUGGUUAAGAGAACAAGCUGUCCAGAGAGUGAGAAGGAUAAGCAAAAGAAAAGAUAUCUAUUUCAGCCCCAAUACAGAAGCUGUAUGGCUAAGCAAUUAAAUUUUUCCUCUUAGUCCUUAAUUUGCUUCUGCAUUCCAAUUAGCUUUAGACAAUUGGCAUUCGUUCUGCACUAUACAAACAAACUAAUUUAUUUGGAACAAGCAAUGAAAUGAGAACUUUAUUUGGUGUGGUCAAGGCUCCAUUUCUGUUAC